CGCCUCUUGCACAACCAUAAGAGGUCCAGCCUGCCCAGUGACUCUGUUCAACGGCCGCGGUAUCCUAACCGUGCGAAGGUAGCGCAAUCACUUGUUCUUUAAAUAAGGACUAGUAUGAAUGGCACCACGAAGGUUAUACUGUCUCCUCUUUCUAAUCAGUGAAACUAAUCUUUCCGUGAAGAAGCGGAAAUAAUUAUAUAAGACGAGAAGACCCUAUGGAGCUUUAAACUAAAUAACAAAUAUCUUUCUACUAAAAACCCAAGAGUAAUUAAAAUUAACCAGAUAUUAUGAUUUCUAGUUUUAGGUUGGGGUGACCAUGGAGUACAACUCAACCUCCAUGCCGAAAUGAUUAUAAAAAUCUAAGCCACGAACAACAAUUCCAAGCAUCAACACUUUGACGUCUAUUGACCCAAUUUUUGAUCAACGAAACAAGUUACCCUAGGGAUAACAGCGCAAUCCACUUCAAGAGCUCAUAUCGACAAGUGGGUUUACGACCUCGAUGUUGGAUCAGGGUAUCCUAGUGGUGCAGCCGCUACUAAAGGUUCGUUUGUUCAACGAUUAAAACCCU
rnacentral:rRNA from 1 species